AUUGCUUCUUGGCCUUUUGGCUAAGAUCAAGUGUAAAAGAUAAUGCACCUUUUCCAUGAACUUUCUGAAGACCAUUCUUAUAUUGUGCCUUCUAGAAGCUGAACAAUGGCCUGCUUUUAAGUUUCUUGAUCUGUGAAAUAAUAGGAAGUAACACAUC
ensembl:snRNA U2 U2 spliceosomal RNA